AGUUUCCAAUCUAUAUCAAAUUUUUAAUAAAUUUUUAAAUGCAAAGGGAUCUGCUGCCUCAGCAGUGUUGAACAAUCAGCUUUGAAAAAUUAUAUUUUAAUACUUACUUACAUAUUUUUACUGAAAUUUGUUGGAAAAAGAAAUCUAUUAAGUGUGGUUUUAGGAAAAAUUAUACUUGUCAAUUUUAAAUUAUUAACUGAUUUUUAGUGAUUUUUUAAAUAGAUGGGGGUUUGCUUCCUAGGCAGCCCAAGUUGCCUUGCUUUGAAAACACUCAUCUCGAAUGUCAAAUCUCGGAUCACCAUGAAAUUUGGUAGAUAGAAGCAACUCUACGUCAAACUCAACCAAAAAAAAAUUUCAAGUGCAUAGAAGCUGUGUGGAAUUGUUAGCAAAGUUUUGAAUG
rnacentral:lncRNA from 1 species